UGUAGAUAAAACUAUUGUACUACAACCGAAUCUUAAAUCUGGAAUAGUACCGAAGAUACCUGAGAGGUAUGGAUUCAUCAUGGAUGAUGAUGAUGAGGUACGUAUCAAAGAAGAUGAUAAUCUAGUUACAUACGAUGAGGUAAGAGUUGUAGACACUUAGAGAAAUGGAUUGAAGCAAGCUUCUCAAAAAUGGAACAUUCGUUUUGAUGAAAUAAAUCAAAAGAGUUUGAUUUUAUCACAAAUAAGAAUGAACCUAGCGUGUACAAAAGGGUCAGUGGAAGCACCGUAACAUUCCUAAUAUUAUAUGUUGAUAUACUAUGG
rnacentral:lncRNA from 1 species